rnacentral:rRNA from 1 species
AUUGAACGCUGGCGGCAUGCCUUACACAUGCAAGUCGAACGGCAGCACGGGUGCUUGCACCUGGUGGCGAGUGGCGAACGGGUGAGUAAUACAUCGGAACGUACCUUAUCGUGGGGGAUAACGCAGCGAAGGCUGUGCUAAUACCGCAUACGCCCUGAGGGGGAAAGCGGGGGAUCGCAAGACCUCGCGCGAUUAGAGCGGCCGAUGCCUGAUUAGCUUGUUGGUGGGGUAAAAGCCCACCAAGGCGACGAUCAGUAGCUGGUCUGAGAGGACGAUCAGCCACACUGGGACUGAGACACGGCCCAGACUCCUACGGGAGGAAGCAGUGGGGAAUUUUGGACAAUGGGGGCAACCCUGAUCCAGCAAUGCCGCGUGAGUGAAGAAGGCCUUCGGGUUGUAAAGCUCUUUUGUCAGGGAAGAAACACCGGCUCUAACACAGUCCGGGAAUGACGGUACCUGAAGAAUAAGCACCGGCUAACUACGUGCCAGCCGCCGCGGUAA